rnacentral:rRNA from 1 species
AUUGAACGCUGGCGGCAGGCUUAACACAUGCAAGUCGAGCGGGGGAAGGUAGCUUGCUACUGGAUCUAGCGGCGGACGGGUGAGUAAUGCUUAGGAAUCUGCCUAUUAGUGGGGGACAACAUCUCGAAAGGGAUGCUAAUACCGCAUACGUCCUACGGGAGAAAGCAGGGGAUCUUCGGACCUUGCGCUAAUAGAUGAGCCUAAGUCGGAUUAGCUAGUUGGUGGGGUAAAGGCCUACCAAGGCGACGAGCUGUAGCGGGUCUGGGAGGAUGAUCCGCCACACUGGGACUGAGACACGGCCCAGACUCCUACGGGAGGCAGCAGUGGGGAAUAUUGGACAAUGGGGGGAACCCUGAUCCAGCCAUGCCGCGUGUGUGAAGAAGGCCUUAUGGUUGUAAAGCACUUUAAGCGAGGAGGAGGCUACUCUAGUUAAUACCUAGGGAUAGUGGACGUUACUCGCAGAAUAAGCACCGGCUAACUCUGUGCCAGCCGCCGCCGUAAUAC